AAAAAAAAACAGGGGUAAAUAACUAGAGUUCAAUCCAGACAGCUAAGGAUGCAGGGAGAAUUGUUCAGAAUUAUGUUUCCUGUGUCAAUUAGAACAAUAUUAUUAGAGAAGUCAUAGAAAAAAUUCUUUUAACUGUUUGAACAAAGAUUUCAAUAAGAUCCAAAUAGUUUUGAGGGGGAAAAAAAAAGGACAAAACAAGUUUUGUUCCAUUUUUUUUUU